rnacentral:rRNA from 1 species
AGAGUUUGAUCCUGGCGCAGGAUGAACGCUAGCGGGAGGCUUAACACAUGCAAGUCGAGGGGCAGCACGGGACUUCGGUUCUGGUGGCGACCGGCGCACGGGUGCCGUAACGCGUAUGCAACCUACCUUAUACAAAGGGAUAGCCCAUGGAAACGUGGAUUAAUACCUUAUAGUACUAUAAAGCUACAUAGUUUAAUAGUUAAAACUUCGGUGGUAUAAGAUGGGCAUGCGUAUGAUUAGGUAGUUGGUAGGGUAAAGGCCUACCAAGCCGACGAUCAUUAGGGGUUCUGAGAGGAUUAUCCCCCACACUGGUACUGAGACACGGACCAGACUCCUACGGGAGGCAGCAGUGAGGAAUAUUGGUCAAUGGACGAGAGUCUGAACCAGCUAUCCCGCGUGCAGGAUGACGGCCCUAUGGGUUGUAAACUGCUUUUGUAAGGGAAUAAAAAAGAGUACGUGUACUCUAUUGUAUGUACUUUACGAAUAAGGAUCGGCUAACUCCGUGCCAGCAGCCGCGGUAAUACGGAGGAUCCAAGCGUUAUCCGGAUUUAUUGGGUUUAAAGGGUGCGUAGGCGGACCUUUAAGUCAGUGGUGAAAGUUUGCAGCUCAACUGUAAAAUUGCCAUUGAAACUGAAGGUCUUGAGUGUAAAUGAGGUAGGCGGAAUGUGUUGUGUAGCGGUGAAAUGCUUAGAUAUAACACAGAACACCAAUUGCGAAGGCAGCUUACUGGGAUACAACUGACGCUGAGGCACGAAAGCGUGGGGAUCAAACAGGAUUAGAUACCCUGGUAGUCCACGCAGUAAACGAUGAAUACUAGCUGUAUGCGAUAUAGUGUAUGUGGCAAAGCGAAAGCGUUAAGUAUUCCACCUGGGGAGUACGUUCGCAAGAAUGAAACUCAAAGGAAUUGACGGGGGCCCGCACAAGCGGAGGAACAUGUGGUUUAAUUCGAUGAUACGCGAGGAACCUUACCUGGGCUUAAAUGUAGAGUGCAUGACCGGGAAACUUGUCCGCCAGCAAUGGUCUCUGUGUAGGUGCUGCAUGGUUGUCGUCAGCUCGUGCCGUGAGGUGUCGGCUUAAGUGCCAUAACGAGCGCAACCCCCUACUGUUAGUUGCCAUCGGGUCAUGUCGGGGACUCUAACGGGACUGCCGGUGUAAACCGCGAGGAAGGUGGGGAUGACGUCAAAUCAGCACGGCCCUUACGUCCAGGGCUACACACGUGUUACAAUGGCCAGUACAAAGGGCAGCUACCAGGCGACUGGAUGCUAAUCUCCAAAAGCUGGUCUCAGUUCGGAUCGGAGUCUGCAACUCGACUCCGUGAAGUUGGAUUCGCUAUUAAUCGUAUAUCAGCAAUGAUACGGUGAAUACGUUCCCGGGCCUUGUACACACCGCCCGUCAAGCCAUGGAAGCCGAGGGUGCCUGAAGUACGUUACCGCAAGGAGCGUCCUAGGGUAAAAUUGGUAACUAGGGCUAAGUCGUAACAAGGUAGCGGGCG